AUGCCCUCUUCAUCAUAUCACAUGGCAAGGACUAAGCUGGGUGGAUAGUCAAUGCUAAAUAUCCCAAUCCUGACUAUCUACUUAGCUUAGUCCUGGCUCUGUGAUGUCGCACCUGUAUGCUAU
rnacentral:precursor_RNA from 15 species